rnacentral:rRNA from 1 species
AUUGAACGCUGGCGGCAGGCCUAACACAUGCAAGUCGGGCGAGCGGCGGACGGGUGAGUAAUGUAUGGGGAUCUGCCUGAUGGCGGGGGAUAACUACUGGAAACGGUAGCUAAUACCGCAUACCAUCAGAUGAACCCAAAUGGGAUUAGCUUGUAGGUGGGGUAACGGCUUACCUAGGCGACGAUCCCUAGCUGGUCUGAGAGGAUGAUGAGCAACACUGCGAGUGAGACACGGCCCAGACUGGUACGGGAGGCGGCAGUGGCAGAUAGGGCACAAUGGGCGAAAGCCUGAUGCAGCGGCGCCGAGUAGGGGAUGAAGGCUUGCGGGUUUUAAACCUCUGUGGAUAGGGUAGGUGGAGAAGAAGCGCCGGCUAACUACGUGCCAGCAGCCGCGGUAAUUC